rnacentral:rRNA from 1 species
AACGUAGGAGACAAACGUUAUCCGGAGUUACUGGGCGUAAAGGGCGUGUAGGCGGUUUGUUAAGUCUGGCGUGAAAGCUCUCGGCUAAACCGGGAGAGGUCGUUGGAUACUGGCAAACUAGAGGAUGGUAGAGGCGUGUGGAAUUCCGGGUGUAGUGGUGAAAUGCGUAGAGAUCCGGAGGAACACCAGUGGCGAAGGCGACACGCUGGGGCCAUACCUGACGCUAAAGCAGCGACAGCAUGGGGGAGCAAACAGG